AUGAAGAGUUUGAUCCUGGCUCAGGAUGAACGCUAGCGGCAGGCCUAAUACAUGCAAGUCGAGGGGUAUAUUUCUUUCGGGAGAUAGAGACCGGCGCACGGGUGCGUAACACGUAUGCAACCUGGCCACUACUGGGGGAUAGCCCGGGGAAACUCGGAUUAAUACCCCAUAACACAGUGAAAUCGCAUGGUUUUAUUGUUAAAGAUUUAUCGGUAGUGGAUGGGCAUGCGUCCGAUUAGCUAGUUGGCAGUGUAACGGACUACCAAGGCGACGAUCGGUAGGGGGUCUGAGAGGAUGAUCCCCCACACUGGUACUGAGACACGGACCAGACUCCUACGGGAGGCAGCAGUAGGGAAUAUUGGGCAAUGGAGGCAACUCUGACCCAGCCAUGCCGCGUGCAGGAUGACGGCCUUCUGGGUUGUAAACUGCUUUUAUAUGGGAAGAAAAAGGUCUUGCGAGACAAAUUGCCGGUACCAUAUGAAUAAGCACCGGCUAACUCCGUGCCAGCAGCCGCGGUAAUAC
rnacentral:rRNA from 13 species